ensembl:lncRNA LINC00639 long intergenic non-protein coding RNA 639
GCCACCCCUGAGACAGCAAGACCAACAACCCCUUCUCUUCCUCUUCAGCCUACUCAGUGUGAAGAUGAUAAAAUGAAACAGUUGGUGAUGUUUCAGAGAACCCAACUCAAACUGACUUGAACAAGAGAAAUCAGUGUUUACUGCAGAGAACACAGAAGCCAGCAAGCAGCAGGGAAGGGAGGCGAACCAAUGCAGCAGCCCACCGGGACCGAGGAGGACACACGCAGAGCAAGUCACAGGAAGCGCAGCUGAAAACAAAUGGACGCUUAUCCCAAAUGCACAGGACACUUACCAAGAACUGAUGGUCCGUCAAAGUAAAGCUCAACAGCUUUGGCUGGCAGGACAGUCAAACUUUUGGACGACAGAAAGUAACAGUGGGAAAUGGGACAACAUCUGCCAGCAACGCGAGAGGCCAAGACCAUGGCUGCUACAGGAGGGGUCAGCGUCACAGUACACGCAUGGCGGCGGUUGCACAUGCAUGCCUGGGGAAUGCUUCUCCAUCAUUCUCUGUUCCUUGGAAGCGUGAGGGCUAAGGAGCUGCUGACUUCUCUCUCUUGGCCCCACUUCAAGAAAGGCUUGCUUCCCACACACCUCUCCACGCUCCCAGUGCGGGACUGACACUCUGCACCGGGAGGCCAAGGGCCACCAUCGUCUUGCUGAGGUGGAUCACAGAAUGAGCGCUGAACUUUCUAGCAGCCAACAAGUUGAGAGAAGCAUGAUUCAACAAUUCGUAAUGUUCACACGAUUCAAGUCAAACAUGUUGGAAAGAAGUGUGACUAUUCCUGAAAUUGAGACCAGAGAGAAUUUCUCCCAAAUGAUCCUCACGAGAGGAGUGUGCAUAAUUAGGCAACAAUAUUUUGCAUUUGAAAAUGUCUUCACAUUAAAUAGAAGGAGUUGUUUUAUAGGCUAGUUUUUUAAGUUAUCCCUAAAUAUUGGCCAAAGGCAUUAUGCUAACAUGGAAGUGCCAGACCUUCGCUGCCCAUGUGCAGUAUGAUGAGGGAUGUAGCAGUGGGUCCCAGGGUGCUGGUGCACCAGAGGUUGGGGUGUGCAGUAGGGAAGAGAUUCAUCUGGUGUGGUUAUGUAGUGGUCAUGUGGUGCUUCCUAAAAGAGGGGCUUAAACUGCAUACCAAAACAAGAGUAGGCACACCCCCGCUAAACAGCCUAGUAUGCUAUUUUGUAACAAAUUUAAAUGAUACAAUAUUCAUUUUGCUUCAAUUUUCUUUUAUUAUUGCGGGUAAACAUUUUUUUCAAAAUAACAUUCUUCUCUUUGUCAAUUUAAAAAGUAAUACAUGGUUAUUUAGAACAUGUAAAAAUAUGAAAGUAUAAUAAAGAAAAUAAAAAUUACCCAGAAAUAAAAAUGGCUAGUAUAUUCAUAUCUUUUCUUCCAGUUUUUUUGUUUGUACAUUAUUUAUGUACAUAUAUAACAAUUGAUACCAUACAGUUUGUAAAAUGUUAAAUGUAACAUUGUGUCAUUUUUCCAAGUCAUUACUAGUCUUUGAAAACUUUAAAUAGCUGCAUGUUACAAACUUUAAUAAUCAUUUAGGUUGUUUCCAUCUUUUUCUAAAUAAAAGUGUGCUUCAGUAAAUUUUUUUUGCAUAA